AACGAGCAGGAAGGCUCCCAUGGAGCCAAAAACCCUAAACUUCAUAAAAUCUCCAAAUUGAAAGGCUAAACGAAGCCCAAAUUCACAACCGAACAUGAAUUGACGAUCACCUUCACAAGGGGAUCAUAAGGAAUCAUGUCAAGAUGGAUGGGAGCAUUGAGGGCUAACGGGCUAAGAAGACUCAAUCAAGUAAGCGAACGAGAAUACGGACGCGCAAAGGUUGUACAGAACUGUGGAUUCUCAUCAUGGAGUGUAAAAGGUUGAAGAUCGAGUCAAGAGAUGGAUUGUACAUGUGGGUGCAUGGUCACGUAAUUUAAUAGUAGUAUGUCCGAUUUUUAUAAAUUUAUAGAAAGCAUUAAUGUAUUUAAGGUAAAAGAGUGAAUUAAUGUAUUUCUAAGUAUGUUAGAAUGAAUAUGAUGAAGGAAAAUUUUUA